UCUUAUUCCUCCCCCACUUUUAUUUUUUACUCUUUUCUUUUGUCUAAUUUUUUUCUCCUAAUAAAGAGGUAAAGCAUCUCCUCCACGUGCUCUUCGCUCUCCUCUCUUCUCUUUCUAUCCACAGAUCCGAUGCUCAUCAAACAUCAUGAUGGGAGAAUGCACAUCGGCUAUUUACACAGUGAACCGCAUGCCACAUGGCAUAUAUGAUGACGGGUAUAGUUGGUGCUGACUGUAC
rnacentral:lncRNA from 1 species